AUUGAACGCUGGCGGCAGGCUUAACACAUGCAAGUCGAGCGGGGUGAUGGUGCUUGCACUAUCACUUAGCGGCGGACGGGUGAGUAAUGCUUAGGAAUCUGCCUAUUAGUGGGGGACAACAUCUCGAAAGGGAUGCUAAUACCGCAUACGUCCUACGGGAGAAAGCAGGGGAUCACUUGUGACCUUGCGCUAAUAGAUGAGCCUAAGUCGGAUUAGCUAGUUGGUGGGGUAAAGGCCUACCAAGGCGACGAUCUGUAGCGGGUCUGAGAGGAUGAUCCGCCACACUGGGACUGAGGAACGGCGCAGACUCCUACGGGAGGCAGCAGUGGGGAAUAUUGGACAAUGGGGGGAAACCUGGUCCAGCAAUGCCGCGUGUGUGAAGAAGGCCUUAUGGUUGUAGAGCACUUUAAGCGAGGAGGAGGCUCUUUUGGUUAAUACCCAAGAUGAGUGGACGUUACUCGCAGAAUAAGCACCGGCUAACUCUGUGCCAGCCGCCGCCGUAA
rnacentral:rRNA from 1 species